AUUUUAUUAAUAUAAAUAGUAUAUUUGAUUUCCAAUCAAAAAGUUUAAUUUUAUUAAAUAAAAUA
rnacentral:tRNA from 1 species